UUAACACAUGCAAGUCGAACGGUGAAGCCAAGCUUGCUUGGUGGAUCAGUGGCGAACGGGUGAGUAACACGUGAGCAACCUGCCCUGGACUCUGGGAUAAGCGCUGGAAACGGUGUCUAAUACUGGAUAUGAGAUGUGAUCGCAUGGUCAUGUUUGGAAAGAUUUUUCGGUCUGGGAUGGGCUCGCGGCCUAUCAGCUUGUUGGUGAGGUAAUGGCUCACCAAGGCGUCGACGGGUAGCCGGCCUGAGAGGGUGACCGGCCACACUGGGACUGAGACACGGCCCAGACUCCUACGGGAGGCAGCAGUGGGGAAUAUUGCACAAUGGGCGGAAGCCUGAUGCAGCAACGCCGCGUGAGGGAUGACGGCCUUCGGGUUGUAAACCUCUUUUAGCAGGGAAGAAGCGUAAGUGACGGUACCUGCAGAAAAAGCGCCGGCUAACUACGUGCCAGCAGCCGCGGUAAUACGUAGGGCGCAAGCGUUAUCCGGAAUUAUUGGGCGUAAAGAGCUCGUAGGCGGUUUGUCGCGUCUGCUGUGAAAUCCCGAGGCUCAACCUCGGGUCUGCAGUGGGUACGGGCAGACUAGAGUGCGGUAGGGGAGAUUGGAAUUCCUGGUGUAGCGGUGGAAUGCGCAGAUAUCAGGAGGAACACCGAUGGCGAAGGCAGAUCUCUGGGCCGUAACUGACGCUGAGGAGCGAAAGGGUGGGGAGCAAACAGGCUUAGAUACCCUGGUAGUCCACCCCGUAAACGUUGGGAACUAGUUGUGGGGACCAUUCCACGGUUUCCGUGACGCAGCUAACGCAUUAAGUUCCCCGCCUGGGGAGUACGGCCGCAAGGCUAAAACUCAAAGGAAUUGACGGGGACCCGCACAAGCGGCGGAGCAUGCGGAUUAAUUCGAUGCAACGCGAAGAACCUUACCAAGGCUUGACAUACACCAGAACACCGUAGAAAUACG
rnacentral:rRNA from 1 species